CGGACCUCAGAUCGGGCAAGANCACCCGCUGAGUUUAAGCAUAUCACUAAG
rnacentral:rRNA from 1 species